GUAUGAACAGCAAGGGGUUAAUACAUCUUAGUGAACAACCAUAUGAAAGCACAAUAAGGAAGCUUUGUUUCUUGGCCUAGGUCUGUGAUGAAGCCUAUAUUCUUAAAACAAUAAGAAAUACGGGACAGACAACUUGCUGCCAGUGGGAACUGAACCCACAAUCUCUGCAUGUGGUGUACCGUAGCUCAAUUGGCAGAGCAUCAUGUGGAUGUUGUGGUUUUAGCCCCUGCCAAUGGUUUUCCAUUUUUAUUUUCCUGUUCCUUAAAGGGACACUAAAGCGAAACAAUAAAUCAGUUUAGACUAAUGAAGCAUUGUUUGAGAACCCUGCAGGCAGUCAUUUAAAAAAUAUACUUGAUUAGAUGAGAAAAUGAAGGUCCAAGUAUCAGUAUUUGAAUUUCGCGGCGAAACCCAAGCGCCGGUACGUCAGCGUGACGUCGGGGAUUCCAAAGUAUGUUUUCGCAUUUGGGCUGCGUUGGCCGAGUAAAGGUUCCCGAAACUUGUCCUGUUUAAUAUUUGGUUCCUUUAGAACACAAUGUAGUCAAUCUGUACCGCUAUAUAUAAUUAUUAGGCCCUAGAAGGUGCCAUCAAAAUCCAAGACGUCACAGCCCCCAGGUGCGGGAACUGAAGUAGGCGUCGCCACCCGUAUUUUGUUCUUGCGCUUUUUCUGGCUAACCAAAUGUCUUAUCGUUGUAAGAGUGGUGUUUUUGGUGUUGUAGAACGGUAAUUUACUGAUGAAGAAAUCAUUUUUCCCUUUAGUGUCCCUUUAAUUUGGUAUGUUUAUAGUAAAUUUAUCUCUCAAUGAAUGAAGAUAACAUAUGCUUUCCUUGGUUUCAUUGUCUGUUGGUUUCACUGAAAAUUAAAGCUUUUUGGUUCCCCUCAUUCAUCGCGUAACACUAUGCGACCUAGUUAAAAAGCAUAGAAAAUUAACUUUUAGAAACAUAUGAUUUGCUUUUUAAUAGAAAUAAUAUUUAUUGACAAAGAAAUGAAUUGCAAUCGUGCAUCUGUAUCCUUAGCCACUUUGGUAGUUUUUGAUCCAUUACAUAAAUAGAACCAAUACAUACAAUAAGGCAUCAGCAGCAAUGCUAUCUGUGGAAAUUACUAUUUUUGUGAGAAGCAUAGCUGAAAUUUUUUAGUGAUAUGUCAAGUUUCUUAAGUAUAUCACAUUUUGGCAGAUAUCUUGCUUCCUUAAAAAUGUUAAAGUACCUACAUUUGUUUCUGAGUUCUCUUGCUUUAUUAGCUGCUGACUACGUAAUGAUGGUACUGGGCCUCAAUUCUUUGAGCAUGCUACAAAUAACCGAUUUCAGAGUGUACACCAUGUGGAAAGCAGCUUUGGGCUUGAAGAAAGUUUGCUAGUUGCACAUUAUGGAAAUGGUAGGUGCGUGUGAUAUCACAAACGUGUGUUGCUCAGCUGCAGCCUAACAUGAUUGCCAUGCUAGGCAGCACUCUACCAGAAGAGUGAUGGGAAAUGUUGACAAGUGCUGUGUGAAGGAGGCCAAGCUUUUGGUGAACUGGCCUCACAUGAGUGGUCACUGCGGUCUGCGACAGAACCAACUUUUUUCAAGUAUGUCGCUAAAUUGAGACAGAGAAGUCACAAAAUUUUUGCUAAAUUUUGCUUCAAGGUUGCUAAAACUGUCGAGUGAAUUUUACAUGUUUUUGGAACACUAAAUUGUAGGUUGACAUGAUGCAACGCAUGUACCAAAAUGCUUCACGUUUGUCUAGUGGCUGUGCUCGCAGGCCAGGAAUAAACAGUGAAUUUACCAGCAGGGUCUGGCAGACUUUGCUGCUGUAUAAUAAUAAUAAAAAUAAAUAAUGACAGCUGAAAUUAAGAAUGACUUGGGUCACCAAGAGUUGUAUCCACAAGAACACUUGCACUAGAGAAGAAUAAGGGGAUCUGCUAGAAUUUUAGUAAGAGCAAAUUCCAGCCAAUCCCGAUGCUGGAUGCAUAUAUUACUAGUGAAGGCCACCAGCCAAUCAUAAAGAACAGUGCGGAUGAAAAGCUAAGCGAAUUUGUUCCCAUGAUUUUCUUGGCACAAAGAUGCACUUGCGUCUCACAUUAUGCCUAAAAUUUCUAAAUAUAUCGCCACUCAAGAAAGAAAAACUAAAUUAUAUGACGCAAUUUUAACACAGUAUUGAAAAUCGCGUGACUUUUACAUAGGUAAUACCAAGUUGCCGCUGCUUGAUCCACCUGAAAGCUCCAUGCAGUAUCAAUUUGUCGCAAUACUGUGAGAAACGAAGGCAGCGCAUUCAUAUUCACGUGAACAAGCAUGCGUGAACAUGUAUGCCUGCUGUAUUCUAAAUCUAAGCAAAAAAUUAUUUGCAGCAAGUUUUGGCACAUUAUUGUACUGCUAUGCUUGUGACAUCCACCAGUCGAACAUACUUAGUGAAACUGCAGCACUCUCAGCCAUUGCAACACUUUCCAAUAGGCUUUAUAAAGAACUUUUACAGGCACAAUGUGAAGCCCGUUUUUCUUGGAGUAGUUAACCGCAGUGUACGGCCUCUGUGAGUGCAGAUGACCAUUGCCUCAUCAUGGUCACAGAGCCCACGCACCUUGCAGCCAAUUUCGACAUCCUCUUUGUAGCUUCUGAAUACCAUAUUUUGCAUGUAUAACCAACACCAAAAUUGAAAAAGUUUUACAGUAAAGAUGGGGUGCAAGUCAUAUGCGAAUUUCACACUGAGAUGUGGCUCCAUGGCAGCAAAAAUUCUGCCUCGACGGCAUUGCGCUGCCAUGAAACCACACUUUGAGGCACAGAGUUCUCCACCAUUCAUUGCCUUUUAGGAUGACGCUUUGUUCUCCACUCUUUUAUGGUUGCCCGCUGUCCCUUUAUGGGUCACCAUAUUAGGUUAUGCCUUUGUUAAUAGUUAACUUGAAUCAUGACGAAUUGUGCUCGACUGCAAUCCUGUACAGCACAGGAGCUGGAGACCAUCAGCAUUGCCGAAGAGAUGGGGGUGCAGAGCAUGAUGGUAUAACAUGUGUAUCCACGACUGUUUUGACAAAGAUGCACAGCAGCAUCGGCCCCUGCAACCUUCUUAUUUACAGCAAGGCUGUUCAGAGCUGGUUCUGCAUCUGGCCGUGUUCUCCUUCCAGCCUUUGGAAGUCAUGCUUACAUUUGUGUUUUGGUUGAACAUUGUAAUAGCUUUGAAGAUAAACUCAGACAUGUACCCUGAAAAGUGUGCGGCACUUGGGCGUUACCCACAUUCAAUGGGCUGUCCACCGAGCACAGCGCUGGUAGAGAUUGUGGUGGAGAGAUAAGGCAAUUCCUUUUCUUAAAAGUUCUUUCAUAAUUUUCUGUUUUACGUCUUGCACGUUCUCUUCAUCCACGUCUUCAAUGCAAGCGGAACUGACCAACUCAAUCAUCCUCUUCGCCGUCACUUGAGUGGAUGUCCGAGACAUUUUUCAACUCAUUUUCUCCAGAAGCUUGUUGUCACAGUGCUUGUCUGCAUUACCAAGUUUCUUUUCAUAAAACAAGGAAGAAGGCAGCACUGCAAACUAUGAAGCGAUUCACUAGCUAGCCAGGUCAAGCACUGCUCCACACUGCAUGGCGCUUAGCGUAGAGGCUUCCGAAUGUGUUCAUCAUGACACUUUACACAAUUGUGACCGUACACAAAUUGCAGCACUGAGAGGACAGCGGGUGCCGGUGCAUGCAGGUGCUGUAAUGUGAACUUUACACACUCGCACAAUUUUUAUAUCAGUAGGUAAUUUUUUGAAAACUGUAGACAAUGUUGAAUGUAGAAAAUAAAUGAGAAAGACACCAUAUCUGGCGAUGCCAUAAGGCACACUGCCAUCCUUAACAUAUUGCAGGUUUGAUUUAUCUGUGUUCACUGUAUGUCGCAGUAAACACCACAUUUGCAAAAGAAAUAGUGGAGAAUUCGGCUGAAACAGUUAAACUGGCAGCAUCUGUAGCAUGCUCAGAGUAAAAAGUGCGAUUUCGAAAGGUGCACGAUUGUUUAUAACGCCUGAUAGGUUUAAGAAAAGAGGGGCCCUAAAAGGCUGUCUUGUGGCACACCAUUUGUAAUUCACAUACCUACAGAUAAACAGUGCACUUCACACUGAAAGUGAGAGCUAGGGUGCGCUAUACAUAAUUAGAUUAUGAGAAUUCCAGCGGAUACCAAUGUGUUCGAGCUUUGAAAAAAGAACCUCGGGGCUGAUUGUUCUGAGAGCCUUUCUAAAAUUUACAAGCAGGCAUAGUGCAAGAAGUUGUGAUGCAAAGCUAGUUAGUGUGUAGUACUCCUGGUAAACAGAGCAUGUUUUGUUGUGUUGAUAAUUUCUGGUAAAGCCAUACUGACAGUGAAUAAGGAUAGAUUACUUUAGAAAAAAAAGAACACAGAGGUGACAGCAAGUAAAAUAAAUAAAAGGAAAUUAAAGUGUGGAUAAACGUUUAUAUUUA